rnacentral:rRNA from 1 species
GAUGAACGCUGGCGGCGUGCCUAAUACAUGCAAGUCGAGCGAACAGACGAGGAGCUUGCUCCUCUGACGUUAGCGGCGGACGGGUGAGUAACACGUGGAUAACCUACCUAUAAGACUGGGAUAACUUCGGGAAACCGGAGCUAAUACCGGAUAAUAUAUUGAACCGCAUGGUUCAAUAGUGAAAGACGGUUUUGCUGUCACUUAUAGAUGGAUCCGCGCCGCAUUAGCUAGUUGGUAAGGUAACGGCUUACCAAGGCAACGAUGCGUAGCCGACCUGAGAGGGUGAUCGGCCACACUGGAGGUUAGACACGGUCCAGACUCCUACGGGAGGCAGCAGUAGGGAAUCUUCCGCAAUGGGCGAAAGCUUGACGGAGCAACGCCGCGUGAGUGAUGAAGGUCUUCGGAUCGUAAAACUCUGUUAUUAGGGAAGAACAAAUGUGUAAGUAACUAUGCACGUCUUGACGGUACCUAAUCAGAAAGCCACGGCUAACUACGUG